rnacentral:rRNA from 1 species
CAAAGGUUCCCUCAGAAUGGUUGGAAAUCAUUCAUAGAGUGUAAAGGCAUAAGGGAGCUUGACUGCGAGACCUACAAGUCGAGCAGGGUCGAAAGACGGACUUAGUGAUCCGGUGGUUCCGCAUGGAAGGGCCAUCGCUCAACGGAUAAAAGCUACCCCGGGGAUAACAGGCUUAUCUCCCCCAAGAGUUCACAUCGACGGGGAGGUUUGGCACCUCGAUGUCGGCUCAUCGCAUCCUGGGGCUGUAGUCGGUCCCAAGGGUUGGGCUGUUCGCCCAUUAAAGCGGUACGCGAGCUGGGUUCAGAACGUCGUGAGACAGUUCGGUCCCUAUCCGUCGUGGGCGUAGGAAAUUUGAGAGGAGCUGUCCUUAGUACGAGAGGACCGGGAUGGACAUACCUCUGGUGUACCAGUUGUCGUGCCAACGGCAUAGCUGGGUAGCUAUGUGUGGACGGGAUAAGUGCUGAAAGCAUCUAAGCAUGAAGCCCCCCUCAAGAUGAGAUUUCCCAACUUCGGUUAUAAGAUCCCUCAAAGAUGAUGAGGUUAAUAGGUUCGAGGUGGAAGCAUGGUGACAUGUGGAGCUGACGAAUACUAAUCGAUCGAAGACUUAAUCAAAA